rnacentral:rRNA from 1 species
GUGGGGAAUAUUGGACAAUGGGCGAAAGCCUGAUCCAGCCAUGCCGCGUGUGUGAAGAAGGUCUUCGGAUUGUAAAGCACUUUAAGUUGGGAGGAAGGGCAGUAAGUUAAUACCUUGCUGUUUUGACGUUACCGACAGAAUAAGCACCGGCUAACUUCGUGCCAGCAGCCGCGGUAAUACGAAGGGUGCAAGCGUUAAUCGGAAUUACUGGGCGUAAAGCGCGCGUAGGGGGUUUUGUAAGUUGGAGGUGAAAUCCCCGGGCUCAACCUGGGAACUGCCUCCAAAACUGCAUGACUAGAGUACGGUAGAGGGUAGUGGAAUUUCCCGUGUAGCGGUGAAAUGCGUAGAUAUAGGAAGGAACACCAGUGGCGAAGGCGACUACCUGGACUGAUACUGACACUGAGGUGCGAAAGCGUGGGGAGCAAACAGGAUUAGAAACCCCUGUAGUCC